rnacentral:rRNA from 1 species
UACGUAGGGCGCAAGCGUUGUCCGGAAUUAUUGGGCGUAAAGAGCUCGUAGGCGGUUUGUUGCGUCGGCUGUGAAAUCCCGAGGCUCAACCUCGGGUCUGCAGUCGAUACGAGCAAACUAGAGUGUUGCAGGGGAGACUGGAAUUCCUGGUGUAGCGGUGAAAUGCGCAGAUAUCAGGAGGAACACCGGUGGCGAAGGCGGGGUCUCUGGGCCGUAACUGACGCUGAGGAGCGAAAGCGUGGGUAGCGAACAGG